CUUCGCAUUAAGAGCUUGUCCAGGUAACAUCACCACCACUCCGGGGUCCCUCAACAAUGGACAUCACCUCUACCUCUGGUGUCUGCCUUUCUGCCUUCCUUUGACAUCUACUGAUUAACUGUUCUCCUGAAUCUCGGAGGCCUCUCUGCCUUUUGAAUCUGACCCAGGCAUGCAAGAAAUCAUUCGUCCUUCAGCAAGAGGAAAGAGGAAGAAAAGCCUGUCUAGCAACAAGACCCGAGGGCCUCUAGUGCUGGUCUGUCUACUGAAAUGCUGCCUGGCUGAAGACUAGGAGGAAGCAGGGCAUGUCUGUGGGUUUUGCCUUUCAUGGGGUCUUGAAUGACCAGAGAGAGACUGGAUGUGACUCUCUCUCGGGCUCCAGGGGGAAAUUUGAGAUAUUUCCCCUCACUUUUCUCCCUCUACAACUCCUCACUUUUUUAUUUUUACAUUCUUCCUUUACUGCUCUAUUCACAAUGGUAAGAUUACAGGUGUUGCUGUUUGAUUUCCUUCUCAGACCCCUCCCUUUUUACCCUCCUACAUACUCCCUCUCCCUCUUUUGUCCCCCAUUUUUACCUUCUCCCACCGCCAUUCAACCUUUCCCGCUCUCGCAACCAACUAAUCCCAUGACAUUUGCAUCAAGUAAUGUUUGCUUUGCUUGUUUCAGAGCAAAACCUUUUCUUUAAGUUUGUUCUGACAACAAUGGAGGCUAUAUAUUUUGAACAUGAAGAAAGAAUUCAAACAAGAUUUUACUUGUAGACUACAAUGAAUUAAAUCAAAACUACUACUGAAAGUAAUGUGGAUACGUUUCAUAAAAGGGCAAAUGUAAUCAGACAUUAUGUAUUUGGUGAAAUAACUCAGACCAAUUUUGAAAUGCUACAAUGGUGCAGGAACACUGUGAAUUGUGCACAGUGCAUACAGUUUGUACAUAGGAUGUUAUGUAAUGUAUAAUGUUUGCCGAGAAGUGUCAUUGAGGGCAUUCAAUGUUGGUGGCAGUUUGCCAAUGUGGCAAUGAUAAGGUGAUCUUGAGGCAUAUUAGUCGAGACAUGGGAGUAAUCAUCUUCUGAAAUUCCUGCCAUUGUGGUACUCUAGAAUACUACAUUACCUGUGUAAUAGUAGCGUUUUGAUACAGCUGCGGCCUGACUUUGCGAGGGCCCAGUGGCCUACCUUACUUUGUUUUAGCUAACAGCGCAGGUGCAUAACUUCAAGGAAUCUUUGUAUAACCACAGCCUCUUAAAUUAUAGUUUAUGUUCUUGGAUCAUAAAAAGCCCAGUUGUGAUGUGUUUGGAUAAUUAUUAACAAUGACUUAGCCUACUGAUGUGGUUGCAAAAUUAUAGAAUAAAAACAUCAAAGAAAUCCGACAGGGUUUGGUAAACACA